AAUAUUUUGGCAGAAAAAUGCAAUAGAUUUAGAAUCUAUAAAUACUAUUAAUUUCAGCUUCUAUUA
rnacentral:tRNA from 1 species